UUUAAAAACCUAGAAACUAUUCAGAUCCCCAAUUCUCAUCCUCCUCAGCUCAAACUCACGCUCCUCCCCUCUCACCUCCUUCUCCAUGACUAGGCCCAGCUGCCGCCCGAGCCCGCUGUCCCCCUUGACCUCCCUCCUCCGCUACUGGUCCCGCCAAGAGCCCGCAUUCUUCGCCUCCCUCUCCCCCUCGACUCCACCACCUUCUCCUCCCUCACCCCUCCAAUCUUACCUUUUCGAGCAAAACGCUAACAGAACCACUAGUUAUACAAAAAAACCCCAAAAUUGAUUUCUCGCAGCUCGAUUUCAAAUCUCACGCUUCGCCUCGAAGAGAAUGGCGGUGCCAGAAUCGGUAGUGGAUUCAAUUAAAGAAACCCUAGAUUGCGUCGGUGAUCUCCAAACAAAUCUCUUUAACUUCUUAUCAGUGAAAGAGCUCGGAGUCCUCGACGAGCUGUCGCCGCUCCAGCAGGCAAGUGCUCUCCUCGUGCUCGCCCAGUCCGCUUCCUCUCUGUUGGCAGGUAUAAAACCCUAACCCGAGCUCAUUAAUUCUUUUGAUUUCAUAAUUUUUUUUUCUUUUUCCUUUGAGCAGUGAGAUUGAGGUACAGUGGAAUUCGACCAGAUGAUCAUCCUAUCAAGACUGAGAUUGAGAGAUUGAGCUUGUGUGAGGGGAAAUUGGAGCAAUUUGGUAAUUGGAACAAAGUCUGAAAACGUUCUAUCCAAAUCAUUAAGGAGGCUGCAAUUGAUGGAGCUCUCAACGGAAACCCUCAGUGCUACAAAAAUUGGGAAGUCCAUGAAUGCUCUGUACAAGCACAAAUCAAAAUCAAUCCGGCAACUUGCCCAGACCCUCGUCAAAUUUAUUUAAGAUUUCACUCAAUAGGAAUGGGACCUAUUCCUUGGGUUCUGAUGUCAGAGGUACUACCAGCACAAAAUCAUCAAAUUUCCCUCCAACUGUAUUAAUUUUUCUUUCCCAAGGCUAAAGUUCAAGACCUAUUCCAGAUCGGAUACAUCCAUUCAAUUAUUGUAGCAUUCGGCCUAAUGAUGUUUCAACAACUUGGCGGAGUAAAUGCAAUUGAAUUCUGUAAAUUAUGCAAAGUUCAUCAAGUUAUGUAAACAAUUGUAUUUUUUAUUAUCUAUGUAAACAAUUUAUAUAUCUCUCUAGUAUUUU